rnacentral:rRNA from 1 species
AGAGUUUGAUCAUGGCUCAGGAUUAACGCUGGCGGCAUGCCUAAUACAUGCAAGUCGAACGAGAACGGUCUUUAGCUUGCUAAAGAUGUCAGCUAAGUGGCGCACGGGUGAGUAAUGUAUAGCUAACGUGCCCUUUGGAGAGGGAUAACAGUUGGAAACGAUUGCUAAUACCUCAUACUCCUUCUGUGUUAAUCAUAGUUGGGAAAUGUUUUUUCGCCAAAGGAUCGGGCUAUAUAGUAUCAGUUAGUUGGUGGGGUAACGGCCUACCAAGACGAUGACGCCUAGCUGGUCUGAGAGGAUGAUCAGCCACACUGGGACUGAGACACGGUCCAGACUCCUACGGGAGGCAGCAGUGGGGAAUAUUGCACAAUGGGGGAAACCCUGAUGCAGCAACGCCGCGUGGAGGAUGACGCAUUUCGGUGUGUAAACUCCUUUUAUAUGGGAAGAUAAUGACGGUACCAUAUGAAUAAGCACCGGCUAACUCCGUGCCAGCAGCCGCGGUAAUACGGAGGGUGCAAGCGUUACUCGGAAUCACUGGGCGUAAAGCGCGCGCAGGCGGGCUAAUAAGUUGGAUGUGAAAGCCUACGGCUCAACCGCAGAACUGCAUCCAAAACUGUUAGUCUAGAGUCUGGGAGGGGAAGAUGGAAUUAGUUGUGUAGGGGUAAAAUCCGUAGAGAUAACUAGGAAUACCAAAAGCGAAGGCAAUCUUCUGGAACAUUACUGACGCUGAGGCGCGAAAGCGUGGGGAGCAAACAGGAUUAGAUACCCUGGUAGUCCACGCCCUAAACGAUGAAUGUUAGUCGUCGGGUAGCUAGUCUAUUCGGUGAUGCAGCUAACGCAUUAAACAUUCCGCCUGGGGAGUACGGUCGCAAGAUUAAAACUCAAAGGAAUAGACGGGGACC